UACAGAGGGUGCAAGCGUUGUUCGGAAUUAUUGGGCGUAAAGGGCGCGUAGGCGGUCUUGUCAGUCCCUUGUGAAAUCCCCCGGCUCAACUGGGGAACUGCAAGGGAAACAGCAGGGCUUGAGUUCGGGAGAGGGAAGCGGAAUUCCGGGUGUAGCGGUGAAAUGCGUAGAUAUCCGGAGGAACACCGGUGGCGAAGGCGGCUUCCUGGACCGAUACUGACGCUGAGGCGCGAAAGCUAGGGGAGCAAACGGG
rnacentral:rRNA from 1 species